GACGAACGCUGGCGGCGUGCUUAACACAUGCAAGUCGAACGAAGUGGCGAACGGGUGAGUAACGCGUAAUAAACCUGCCCUUCAGAGGGGGACAACAGGUGGAAACGACUGCUAAUACCGCAUACUGAAAGAGGGGAUUGCGUCUGAUUAGCUAGUUGGAGGGGUAACGGCGCACCAAGGCGAUGAUCAGUAGCCGGUCUGAGAGGAUGAGCGGCCACAUUGGGACUGGGACACGGCCCAGACUCCUACGGGAGGCAGCAGUGGGGAAUCUUCCGGUAUGGACGAAAGUCUGACGGAGCAACGCCGCGUGAGUGAUUACGGCCUUCGGGUUGUAAAGCUCUGUUAAUCGGGACGCGGUACCGGAAUAGAAAGCCACGGCUAACUACGUGCCAGCAGCCGCGGUAAUAC
rnacentral:rRNA from 1 species